GGUUGACCUCGGAUGAG
rnacentral:rRNA from 1 species